UAAUACGUAGGGUGCGAGCGUUAAUCGGAAUUACUGGGCGUAAAGCGUGCGCAGGCGGUUUUGUAAGCCAGAUGUGAAAUCCCCGGGCUUAACCUGGGAAUGGCAUUUGGGACUGCAAGGCUUGAGUGCGGCAGAGGAGACUGGAAUUCCUGGUGUAGCAGUGAAAUGCGUAGAUAUCAGGAGGAAUACCGAUGGCGAAGGCAGGUCUCUGGGCUGACACUGACGCUCAUGCACGAAAGCGUGGGGAGCAAACAGG
rnacentral:rRNA from 1 species